ACAACACACACGUUCUGGUGCUGGAGAUCCUGCCCUGGCUGAGCUUCUGGACCUGGUGGGGAGAAAUCCACAAUGAGUACUGAGACGACCGGCAAAAGCCCGGUGAAGGCACCUAGGAGUAGGGCCUGCUUACCCUGGAGGAGUCGGGAGCAGCUUCCACAGCAAGGAGGCUUCUAAGGUACCCAAAAGCACAAGAGACAGUGAACGGAAAGUGCUUGGAAGCCCCGUGCCCAGGUGGUGCUGGCCCCAGCUGAACUGCGGGGAUAGAUGUUGAGUGUCCAGGUUCUAGCAUCAUAGAACAGAAUCCGGCCUGUUGGGAAAUCCUGCCUACAAGUAUACCUCCAUUAAUUAGUGUCUUCUGUGAACAUUUUUAUUAAAAAAAGAAGAAAAGCUUCUC
rnacentral:lncRNA from 1 species